AUGUCAAAUCAUCAUGCCCUUUAUGACCUGGGCUACACACGUGCUACAAUGGCCGCAACAAAGAGAGACGAAGCCGCAAGGCGGAGUGGAUCUCAAAAAGCGGCCCCAGUUCAGAUUGCGGGCUGCAACCCGCCCGCAUGAAGUAGGAGUUGCUAGUAAUCGCGAAUCAGCAUGUCGCGGUGAAUACGUUCCCGGGGUUU
rnacentral:rRNA from 1 species